rnacentral:rRNA from 1 species
UCCGGUUGAUCCUGCCGGACCUGACUGCUAUCGGAUUGAUACUAAGCCAUGUGAGUCAUUGUAGCAAUACAAGGCAGACGGCUCAGUAACACGUAGUCAAUCUACCCUAUGGACGGGGAUAACCUCGGGAAACUGAGAAUAACACCCGAUAGAUCAUAAUUCCUGGAAUGGUUUAUGGUCCAAACGAUUCGUCGCCGUAGGAUGGGACUGCGGCCUAUCAGCUUGUUGGUGAGGUAAUGGCCCACCAAGGCUAUUACAGGUACGGGCUCUGAGAGGAGAAGCCCGGAGAUGGGUACUGAGACACGGACCCAGGCCCUAUGGGGCGCAGCAGGCGAGAAACCUUUGCAAUGUGCGCAAGCGCGACAAGGUUAAUCCGAGUGUUUCCUGCUAAAGGAAUCUUUUGUUAGUUGUAAAACCACUAUCGAAUAAGGGGUGGGCAAGUUCUGGUGUCAGCCGCCGCGGUAAAACCAGCACCUCAAGUGGUCAGGAGGAUUAUUGGGCCUAAAGCAUCCGUAGCCUGUUCUAUAAGUUUCCGGUUAAAUCCACUAGCUCAACUAGUGG